ACUCCUACGGGAGGCAGCAGUGGGGAAUAUUGCACAAUGGGCGCAAGCCUGAUGCAGCCAUGCCGCGUGUAUGAAGAAGGCCUUCGGGUUGGUAAAGUACUUUCAGUCAGUGGAGGAAGGUGGAGUCGUUAAUAGCGGCCUCAUUUGACGUUAGCUGCAGAAGAAGCACCGGCUAACUCCGUGCCAGCAGCCGCGGUAAUACGGAGGGUGCGAGCGUUAAUCGGAAUUACUGGGCGUAAAGCGCAUGCAGGUGGUUUGUUAAGUCAGAUGUGAAAGCCCGGGGCUCAACCUCGGAAUAGCAUUUGAAACUGGCAGACUAGAGUACUGUAGAGGGGGUAGAAUUUCAGGUGUAGCGGUGAAAUGCGUAGAGAUCUGAAGGAAUACCGGUGGCGAAGGCGGCCCCCUGGACAGAUACUGACACUCAGAUGGCGAAAGCGUGGGGAGCAAACAGGAUU
rnacentral:rRNA from 1 species